rnacentral:rRNA from 1 species
CCCCUUAAAGYGGUACGCCCGCUGGKUUCAGAACGUCGUGCGACAGUUCGGUCCCUAUCCGUCGCGGGCGGAGGAAAUUUGAGAGGAGCUGUCCUUAGUACGAGAGGACCGGGAUGGACGCACCGCUGGUGUACCAGUUGUCCCGCCAGGGGCACCGCUGGGUAGCUAUGUGCGGACGGGAUAAGCGCUGAAAGCAUCUAAGCGUGAAGCCCCCCUCAAGAUGAGAUUUCCCACCGCGCAAAGCGGGUAAGAUCCCUCGAAGAUGACGAGGUCGAUAGGUCCGAGGUGGAAGCGUGGCGACACGUGGAGCUGACGGAUACUAAUCGAUCGAGGGCUUGACCUAU